GAUGAACGCUAGCUAUAGGCUUAACACAUGCAAGUCGAGGGACCGGCGCACGGGUGAGUAACGCGUAUCCAACCUGCCCAUAACUAAGGGAUAACCCAGCGAAAGUUGGACUAAUACCUUAUGGUUAUGGAUGGGGAUGCAUCUGAUUAGCUUGUUGGCGGGGUAACGGCCCACCAAGGCAACGAUCAGUAGGGGUUCUGAGGGGAAGGUCCACAGCAUUGGAACUGAGGCACGGUCCAAAAUCGGAGGGAAGGCAGCAGUGAGGAAUAUUAGUCAAUGGAGGCAAGUCUGAACAAGCCAAGUAGCGUGCAGGAGGACGGCCUAUGGGUUGUAAGCUGCUUUUAUAUGGGGAUAGGUACCAUAUGAAUAAGGACCGGCUAAUUCCGUGCCAGCAGCCGCGGUAAUAC
rnacentral:rRNA from 1 species